UCAACAUGCAAGCAGGAAUCUUC
rnacentral:misc_RNA from 1 species